rnacentral:rRNA from 1 species
CAGUCGAACGGAGAUAUACGCAGAGGCGAUUUCGGUCAAAUCAUGUGUCAUCUUAGUGGCGGACGGGUGAGUAACGCGUGGGUAACCUGCCUUACACUGGGGGAUAACACUUAGAAAUAGGUGCUAAUACCGCAUAAGCGCACGAAGCCGCAUGGAUUUGUGUGAAAAACUCCGGUGGUGUAAGAUGGACCCGCGUCUGAUUAGCUUGUUGGCGGGGUAACGGCCCACCAAGGCGACGAUCAGUAGCCGGCCUGAGAGGGUGGACGGCCACAUUGGGACUGAGACACGGCCCAAACUCCUACGGGAGGCAGCAGUGGGGGAUAUUGGACAAUGGGGGGAACCCUGAUCCAGCGACGCCGCGUGAGUGAAGAAGUAUUUCGGUAUGUAAAGCUCUGUCAGCAGGGAAGAGAGAAAUGACGGUACCUGACCAAGAAGCCCCGGCUAACUACGUGCCAGCAGCCGCGGUAAUACGUAGGGGGCAAGCGUUAUCCGGAAUUACUGGGUGUAAAGGGAGCGUAGACGGUUAAGUAAGUCUGGAGUGAAAGGCCGGGGCCCAACCCCGGGACUGCUCUGGAAACUAUUGAACUUGAGUGCAGGAGAGGUAAGCGGAAUUCCUAGUGUAGCGGUGAAAUGCGUAGAUAUUAGGAGGAACACCAGUGGCGAAGGCGGCUUACUGGACUGUAACUGACGUUGAGGCUCGAAAGCGUGGGGAGCAAACAGGAUUAGAUACCCUGGUAGUCCACGCCGUAAACGAUGAUUACUAGGUGUCGGUGGGUAUGGACCCAUCGGUGCCGCAGCAAACGCAGUAAGUAAUCCACCUGGGGAGUACGUUCGCAAGAAUGAAACUUAAAGGAAUUGAC